GCAAACUUGGUCAUUUAGAGGAAGUAAAAGUCGUAACAAGGUUUCCGUAGGUGAACCUGCGGAAGGAUCAUUAAAAUAUUCGGGUUCCCCGCCUUUAAGGCGUUGGGGCAAAUUCCCGUACACCUCGCACCCUUUGUGAAACCUCCUUCUUUGCUUCGGCAGCGCCGUGUAAGUAAUUACCGGGUAAGGCUGCCAGAAGCCUGUAACAAACCUGUAGAUGAAAUGGCAUGCUGUCUGAUACCGUAUUGUUUGAGAAAUCAAAUCGUUUUUUAAAACUUUCAGCAACGGAUCUCUUGGUUCCCGCAUCGAUGAAGAACGCAGC
rnacentral:misc_RNA from 1 species